rnacentral:tRNA from 1 species
GCCGGGAUAGCCAAGUCUGGUAUGGCGCAAGCCUGCUAAGCUUGUGGGGGAGACCCCACACGGGUUCAAAUCCCGUUCCCGGCG